AUUGAACGCUGGCGGAAUGCUUUACACAUGCAAGUCGAACGGCAGCACGGGGGCAACCCUGGUGGCGAGUGGCGAACGGGUGAGUAAUACAUCGGAACGUGCCCAGUCGUGGGGGAUAACGUAGCGAAAGCUACGCUAAUACCGCAUACGAUCUCUGGAUGAAAGCGGGGGACCGCAAGGCCUCGCGCGAUUGGAGCGGCCGAUGGCAGAUUAGGUAGUUGGUGGGGUAAAGGCCUACCAAGCCGACGAUCUGUAGCUGGUCUGAGAGGACGACCAGCCACACUGGGACUGAGACACGGCCCAGACUCCUACGGGAGGCAGCAGUGGGGAAUUUUGGACAAUGGGCGCAAGCCUGAUCCAGCCAUUCCGCGUGCAGGAUGAAGGCCCUCGGGUUGUAAACUGCUUUUGUACGGAACGAAACGGUGCUGGUUAAUACCCGGCGCUAAUAACGGUACCGUAAGAAUAAGCACCGGCUAACUACGUGCCAGCCGCCGCCGUAAUAC
rnacentral:rRNA from 1 species